UAAUAAGUGUUUAUGGCACUUCUUAAAUCCAUAUCCACCUUGUGUGCAAUGUCAGCCGUUUUCUUUAUGAAAGCGGCCAAACAUCAACUUAUUUUUUAACUGUCCGUCUGAAAACUAUUAUGAAUAAACAAUUCAAAUA
rnacentral:misc_RNA from 1 species